CUGAACUGUAAAGGCUCAGAGGGCAUUUUUUCCUUGCAAAUUUGCCUUUGGAAUUUCUCUUUCUUUUCUGUUAGGAAAGUACUAUUGUUUGACCGUAGGGCCAAUCUCAUGUAGUUUAGAUUCCCCAUACUUGCAGAAUUAGAGUUUUUUUCUUCAUUAUGGGAUGCUUUUUGGUGCUUUCAAAUGGAAAAAGCAGAGUUGUUCCAGGCACUGACAGAAAUCUGUGCUGUUGAUUUUUGUUUCCUUCCUGGACUUCCCAAAGGAAAUACAAAAGAAGAUAUUGAUAUUAAUCUGUUAGAUCACAAAAAACCAAUGUACAACUAAAUGAACCUAGAUUAAUUUUUUCAAAGCCCAAACAAAAGAAAGAUUAACAGUACAUAGUUCUUUUUUAGACAAGACUGACUUGCACAGCCUGUCCCCUGAGUCACUAGGCUUCCCACCUCAAUUAGUCUGCAUUUGCUCAUUUUCCCACUCUAACAUUUCUUAGUAGUAACCAGCUUCUAUCUUCUCUUUGCUUUACAUGGUCACUCUUCCUUUUGUGAUCAUCCCCCAAAUAUCUCUUAUCUCAGUUGGCACUCACUGCUGUCAUUUAUCCUCUCUAAUCACCUGAACUCCUAGGUGUUGGGUGAACCUGUCCCUUAGGCUACCGUAGCUUGCAGAGACUUGGCUUUCAGCCUUAAGGUUCAACAUGCUGCUGGAGUUCCUUCCAUUGCCUCCAUCUUCCAGGCAGCUGGAAGUGGAAGGAACAAGACAUCUCACCACCAAGCCAGCUUUCUCACACAAAGAAUGCAGAGGCAACUGACCAGACACGUAACUGCGUACCAGAGAGAGGGAAAAGCAGAAUGAGGCACAAACAAAUGCAUUUCAGAGAAUGCAGCAUUAUUCACAAUAGCAAGAUGUGGGAACAACUCAAGUGUUAAUCAACAGAUGAGUGGAUAAAGAAAAUGUGCUAUACAUGUACAGUGUGAUAUUAUUCAGCUUUACAAAGGAAGGAAAUCCUGCCAUUUAUGGACAAUGUGGAUGAACCUGGAGGACAUUAUGCUAAGCAAAAUAAGCCAGUACCAAAGGCAAGUUCAAACUCAGAAGGCGAAAGUCCAGCGGAAAGUACCGGAACUGAGGGAAAACUAUUUGCCUAACCACCCACACCACUGAAUGCUUUCUUGGAAUCUGCUGUGUGUUUAAGAUGAUAUCCUACCCACACACAUGUAACCUUUACCUUUUUGCAAACCAAAUCUGAUUCUACAAGGAAAGCACAAAAAUAAAAAUAUUUUUCUCUCAAAUUAUAUCAGAUUUGUUUCUGCUCAAAUUAUCUCAGACUAGUUUUAAAAAUUGUAAACUCUCCCAUAUCAAGCAUCUAACUAUCCACUGAAUUUGGCUAUGCAACUUCAGUUUUUAGAGAAGGUGGUAAAGUCUCUAUUUUUAAGGGGGAAAAAUUAAGGGUUACUAAGAAAUAUAGAAAUAAAACUGGAUUUUUUUUUUUUGCUUUGUUUUACAGUGUUUCUGGAACUUUCUUUCUUUUCAUUCCUCAGUAGCUUUCCGGACUCUAUCCUGAACUGAAUCUUCUUUUGUGAAAGUUACCUUUGACCUGUGACUUGACUAAGCAUGGGCUUUUUACAGUACGUGGUGCUUGAUCAGUCUAUGAAUUCAACCCAAUUAACAUUUUCUCUGUAGAAAUUGCUGCCAUUGGCUCCCAUGACAUCAUGCUUGUGUCCCUCUUUUAGUCUUUCUGACAACUUUUACCCAGUCUUAUUACUCCCUCUUUUUACUUCACGUAUUGUUUAAUUAUUGCUUCUUCCAUGGGGUUCCAUUCCAAACUCUCUUCUUUUUCGUUUCUACAUACUUUCCCUGGAAAAAUUCACUAAGCCAUGAAUAAAAGUAUCAAAUGGACAUUCAUGAAUCCAGGCUUUCAGUCUCCAGCCCCAUCUACCUGCCUGCCCUGACAAUACAAACACUUGAAUGAUUAUUACAUAAAUAAAUAUAUUUCUAACUUCUGCCACUGUUUUCCAAAACCACAGAAGCCAUCUUUAUUUUGGUUGGCCAUUUUAUCCUUGGCAAUAAGCACAGUCCCUGGCACAUGGAAGGCUCUCAAAAAAUCAUCUUAGGUGUUGAAGGAGUGACCUCUUUUUGGCAUCUCCUGAUGCCCUCUAACUUUAAUCUGUCACUAUAUCUUUUUGCUUCUAUCAACUCACAUAUAUUUCAAAUCUGCUUUUUCACCAUCAUCCCCAAUGACAUUCUUUGGAGGAGACAGUAUCUCCUGCCUACCAUCAGCCUUGACUCCAUCCACCAAACUAUCAGUGUUCUUACUUUUUAGACACAAGUAUGGUAGAUGUACUCUCCUGUUCUUGAAUAUUUAAUGGAUUCCAAAUUCUUCUAGUAACAAAUCUAAAUGCCUUAGCCCAUUCUUCAGGGUUCUCAAACCCUAACCUGACUCUAACCUCUCUUUCCAAUCCCAUCUUUUCAAUAUAUUCAUCCUGUAAUUCAGUAACUGCAGAUGUCUCAAGUGCCCUGAACACUCCGUAUUCUUUUUUUCCUAUGUUGGUUUCCUCUGCUCUUUUGAACUUCUUUGUCAUCUGUGUCUUGAACUCUAACACCUAUGUGCAUCUUAUACUUUUAACUUAUAAAAUCCUAUUUUUUGACAGAUUGUUACCCAGUAGUCCUUGGGUGCAACUGAUGAAUGAUGAAUAGGGUCAUAACAUGAAUGUAAACUCACUUUCUCUGACUUUAGACUCCGUCGUCUUUUGUGCUAAGGGGACCGUGGUUCCAGUUCCCAGCAUAUACUCACACUUUGCUCUUAGUCAUUUUUCAUUGCCAUCCCUCUCUGCUGACUGCAUUCAGGUCACCUUUUCUGUAUCACUGUCUUGACUCUGCUCAAACCAUGAUCAUAAAGAGAUUUGUGGUAAAUAUCCUUUUAUCACAUGCAUUGAUCUUAUUAGUGAGUCAGAAACCAGGGUGACCUCAUUUUCUUGUUUUUCUACUGUACCUUUAGUUAUAGAGUGCAUUUCUUGAUUCAUUUUUAGUAUAUCUCUCCACUCUUGAAAAAAUUGUCACAGGUCUUUGAGAGGCUGAGUUGGAAGACAGCUUACAUAGGUAGCUAUCUUUCACAUAAAAAAUCAAGUCUUUUCAUUUCUCCUAGCCAAGCUCCUUGGUCUGGGUUUGUCACUCUGAGAGUCCUACUUGAGGAUUAAGGCUGUGGGAGCCAGCUGUGAGUUCCAUCUCCAAACAUCGUUUUCCCAUGGGUCUCACUGAAUCCUCAGCCCAAAAAGCAUUUCUAGUAGGCUUCUUAGAUAACUACCUUAUUAAAAUGAUUCACAAACUUAAGCCAAGAAGUAUAAAGCCUAUAUAGAAAAGGUAUCUCAAAAUUAAUAUACUACUAGGAAGGCUGAAGUGGGAGGACCACUUGAGGCCAGGAGUUCAAGGCUGCAGUACGUUAUGAUCAUGCAUGUGAAUAGCCACUGCACUCCAGGCUGGACAACGUAGCAAGAUCUUGUUGCUAACAUAAUAAUAAUAAUAACAACUUAUAAGUGACCCAAGAAUGAUUAGCUGCUGUAGUUUUAAAAAUGAAUUAUAUGUAUUCUCUGACAUUGUUUGAUAAAAAAGUAUUAAUGGUCCCACAGCAUCCUACAAUGAUAGAUGAUUCGUGAGGAGUUUAUGUCAGAUUAAUUAACUAGACAAUUUAUAAAUGUGGCUACUAGCAAGGCAGAUUCUGGAUAUCUUGAAGGACCAGGGGAAGAAAAAGAGAUUUUCCCAUAUUCAGUGAGGUCAUUUCUGCAAUUAGUGGUUUGGAGUGGGUCCCCUUAGCAGAGUUUAGCUGGAUGGAAUUUGAACUCACUCUAAUAUAAUAUGAUGGGGUAAAAUGUUUUGAUCAUCUGCCAUUUAUUGACAUACUAAUCUAUUAUCUAUUUAGGCUUUCUUCAAUUCAUUUCUAAGUAGCAAAAAGGAAAACAUCUGUAGGUUCAUGGUGAUUAUAAUACUGAAAGAAAACCUUUUGCUCAGAAGUAGAGCUUUCCUUUAGGCUGAACCCCAAGAAAAAUGUUUUAUUUGCAUCUUUAUUAUAAAGAAAAAAAGGCAUAAUAUAUUGGAUAACUAUAGUGUACAUAUAAGGUGCACAGUCUACAACUUUCCUCUAAGAAGUAUAAAUGUAGUAAUAGUCAUAUGGCUGUGUUUAUCGUGUUUUUAAGGUAAUCAUGCAAUUCAAUUGAGUAAAACUCUAUAAACAGCAGAAAUACAGUCUAUGUGUGUGGUUCUGAUGAAUUAGCAAGAAGACUUAAGAUUUCUCAAAUUCAUAAAAGAGGUAAGAUUGUCAAAGAUGUUUAGGGAAUGUGUUUACAUAAAUGUUACAUUGAAAACAUAGGCUCUUUGAGGAUUAAAUGCUUCUAUAAGCGAAUUUAGCAAAAGAAUACCCUUAAUUGCAUAAAGAUUACUGGGGACAAUAAAAAUACAUACACAUGUCAUGCUAUUAUGAAAUCACAGGUGAUCUGUGGAUAAUUUACACUUGGUUAAACCCCAAUAGAUUUUUUUCUCUGUAUCAUGUUGAUUCAUUAUUUAUAUUAGAUUGGUUAUCUAUAUUAAUGAAGUUAAACAAAGGGGCCAAAUUUGUCUUUGCAAGACAUUUUUACAUUCUAACUAACCUUCAAGAUCCAACUCAGGUACCAUCACUUCCUAAAUUUUCUUUCCCCUCUUUGUUUAUAUGUAUAGUCUAUUUUGCACAGCAUACCUAACUAUAAUUUUAUGCUCCAAUUGUUUGAAUCACGUGCACAGUUCUAGUGUAGUUGAAAAUUAUCCUAAUAUAAUACAGUUCAAUAAUAUGAGACUUUUAACAUAUGCCUUACAUAAAGAUGGAGUUUAAAGCCAAGACUCAUGUACUCUAUCUGGAAAUCUAGGCAGCACAAAUUCACUCAAGACUGAAUGAGCGUUACAGAAUCAGGUCAAGGUGGUAGAGUUUUGGAGACAUUGAAUGUUGUUGUUUCAGCACUGCUCAAAAAAGCACUGCAUGAAAAUAUAUCUGUAACUCCGUACAAAAUCAUGUCCAUUGAAACUUUUCACUGUUGCAGGGAUAUAGGUUUUAUCUAACAUUAUUCUAUUAUUGCUUUUUACUACAGUGCAUAAACAGAGUAUAACUCUGCUUGAAUUUUGAAUUUUCUACUAGUAUAUAUUUCAUAUGAUUUAUUAGUUAUUCAAAAUAUUCUGCUAUAUUUUAAUUGUGAAUCUUGAUACUUCUCAAUUUCCAUAGUCCAGAUUCAAUACACACAAUAUUCCAAUGGGUCAUCACUGCUUCCAUUAAGAUUCUCCAUCUCUGUCCUGGAAUUUACCCUAUCAUUGAAAUCAUGGUUAUGUGUAAUGAACAAGCUAACUGCUCUAGCGUGGAAACACAAAACCUUAUUUGUGAUAAUGAGAUUUGACUUGUCUUCUUCCUCUCACUUUUAAUAAUAUCAUAAUGUUGAUGCAUCUGAAUGUAAUUGGCAUAAACAGUCUUAAGAAAUGCUUUACUGCACCAGAAAACAUAGAUUAGAAUUUAAAUUAUUAUUGUUUUUCCAGACAUUGACUUUUGGGGCCAGGCCAAAUGGAUUUCUGGUUCUUGGAUUGUGCUAAUCAAUAUAACUGUAGCUGUAUGUUUUCAAGAUUAAUUUUAUGACCAUAUUUUCUUAUCUCAAUAGCAAGAACAUUUUUCAUUCUCUUGUCUAUUGGAAUGAGCAAAUUAUUUUUGUAGAACAUUAGAGGGUAAAAACUAUAAGAAGGCAAGUGAAAAAAUUCCCUUUCCCCUACUUUAUCUUUUGCCCUUCCUUUAUUCCUUUUCUUGUAGAAGAAGCAGGGGAAAGAGGAAAAUCCCAUUUUCCCUGCUUCUCCUAUGUGUAGAUAGUAGGAAAUUAAGUAAAAAAUAAAUGUUUUACUUGAGCUCUUAUUGAUUAUUUAUAUUAGAUGAAAAGAUAAGAAAUGGAUAAUGGGGGAGAUUAAUCUCUAAAAAAUAUUAAUUCACAAUAAGUUUGGCUAAAACAUCUUAACACAUAACCAACAACUGACCUGUAUUUGACCAAAGCUAUAUCCUUGUCAUAAAUACUCAGACACCCAUGGACAGUAUUUUUAUGUGGAAGUAUGCUAAUAAUUACUUAAGGUAGAGCCUCAUUUGGGAGGACAGGUACCUAAAGCCUUCAGUGUCUUGGGAAACCUCUGAGAUCAGUGGGCGGCAGCCCGCGGCUUGUCUCUGUUUGGUCUAGUGCUUAAGUGAACUUGCUAACUAAAGCCUUCCUUCCUCCUGUGUAAGUGAAUGAAAAACCUCUCUCAGUUGCUAUCCUGGCUAAGUGGGUGAAUCUGAUGUUUUUGGGUUGCAUCCACUGGGUCUGAAGUUAAAUGUUGUGGUUUACUACUUAUUAUCUGAAGAUCAGAGAUCUUCAACUUCAAACUACUAUGCAUUUUGAGUUAUUUGUAAAUUUCUAGAGAUUUUUGAGGGUGCCCAGCUGGAGUGACAUUUAUUCCUGGAUUUUAUCAUCUCAAAUACAGCACAGAGCCUUAUCUAUAAAUUAUUCCCAUAUUCUCCCUUUGUGGAUAUGUGUAAUGUCAUUUAUAGAAAUAAAUACUUCAUUAU
rnacentral:lncRNA from 1 species